ACGCGUCAAGUAGAGCCUGACUACCCGCUUAAUUUAAGCAUAUUAGUAAGCGGAGGAAAAGAAACUAACAAGGAUUUCCUUAGUAACG
rnacentral:rRNA from 1 species